AAAAUACGUAAUUAUAGUCUAUCAUCACUUGUAAUCUUAAAGAAAAGAAAAGUCUUUUUCAUAGUGUUACCAUAACACUUAGUAAUAGGCAUGCGUGAAUAUACACUAUGCCCGACAGUAUAUAGAAGAGGUUAAUAUAAAAUAGGUUCAACGACAACCGCCACUAUAGUAGUGCUAAGCAGAUUCCUCCCGCAACUAUAUUACCAAAAGCAAAGGUUGUAAUUUUCAGUAGGCAAAGUAGAGAGAAUAUGCUUUGGCUAAUGGCCUAGUGCACCAUAUUGUUGAAUCCCACUAUAGAAGAAUUUCUUAUUAUUAAAUGACAGAAAUACAGCUAAAGAUAAUUCAGUAAAGCUCUUAGUGCUCCUUUUGAGUUUCAUGCAUUAAAUUUUACGCCUGAGUAUGAAGUGGAGAGAAGCUGCUUAUAGGGUAUGGAUAUGUGCAGGCAAACCGAAGGAUUAUCGAUGCUAUAGCAACACGGUUAGAGGUGCCAUCGGAGCGUGUCAUCUCCAAUUUGGCAAAUUAUGGAAAUACCAGUGCUGCAUCCAUUCCCUUGGCAUUGGAUGAAGCUGUUCGGAGCGGGAAGGUGCAGGCAGGACACGUCAUUGCUGCUGCUGGAUUUGGGGCUGGCCUUACAUGGGGUUCGGCAAUACUCAGAUGGAGGUGAAUAUAACUGUUGCUUGCCUCAUAUCUGGGUAAUGCAUCAUUCAGAUAACAGAGGAGACCUAACUGGUGACAUUGCUUGACAAAAGGAAGAAUUGUGUAAUGGUCAACUGGAUUCCUCUGAUAAAAGGGUACACGCUUGAGCCUCAAAAGCACAUCAUGCUGCAAUUUUUUUUAAUGUUUACUAUUCGUGUCUUAGGUUUUAAUAUGUAACUUGUCUAUCGCUUUUUAAGUUUGUUAAACUGGUAUUAUAAAAUGGGAAAUGGGAAGCGAACAAAUAUACCGAUUA